CCUACGGGAGGCAGCAGUAGGGAAUAUUGCGCAAUGGGGGAAACCCUGAAGCAGCAACGCCGCGUGGAGGAUGAAGGUCUUAGGAUUGUAAACCCCUGUUAGCAGAGAAGAUAAUGACGGUAUCUCACGAAUAAGCACUGGCUAACUCCGUGCCAGCAGCCGCGGUAUUACGGAGGGUGCACGAGUUACUUGGAAUUACUGGGCGUAAAGAGUGCGCAGGCGGGAUGGUAAGUCAGUUGUGAAAUCCUGUAGCUUAACGAAGGAACUGCAUUUGAAACUAUGAGUCUAGAGUGUGGGAGAGGAAGGUGGAAUUCUUGGUGUAGGGGUAAAAUCCGUAGAUAUCUAGAGGAAUACUCAUUGCGAAGGCGACCUACUGGAACAUUACUGACGCACAUGCACGAAAGCGUGGGUAGCAAACAGGAUUAGAUACCCUAGUAGUC
rnacentral:rRNA from 1 species